AUCCUUAUUAAUCUUCGGACUCGAAGACAAGCCUUAAAAUUAUUAUUAUUUUGCUGGUGAAUUAUUACCAUGUGUUCAUGCUUCGGUGUCUACUGUCCCGUACCAAAACAAAGGAAAUGGUCUUAACUCAGCUUCUCUACUCCUUACUUGCUCACACUGAACAUGAAAUUUAGCUAGCGGUCAACGAGUUUGCGUACGCUGGAGCC